GGCCAUUUAGCUAUUGUUGUAACUGGCUGACAGUAAGUUUAAAGGCUAAAGCACAAACUAACCCAGUGUUUUAUACUUUGAUGUGUAUUUUGUUCUUCACCUUGCAUUUGACCUAUAAAGGCUAUUGCCCUUGAUUGCCAAAAUCUACCAUGUUUACACUAAGGAGUGGGGUAGACUCUGGACUUACCUGUGGCCACAUAUAAUGCAUUUGACACCUAGUUACAGGACAGUGUCUAAAAAACUGGACAAUUGGGCUGAUUUCAGAUGCAUGUUAAUAAUCAACGAUAUUUGAAAAAUAUGUGGCAAACAUCAUCUGAUGGUCUCACUGAAAAUAUGUGUCAACAGUAAAUAUACACACAUUACAUGAUUUACCCUGUUGUCAUGGAAAUUGGUCUCGGGAUUAAACAAUCCAAACAUGUAUAUACUACAGGGUUAGCCACCCCAAAUUCUUCACCUGAAACCAUUUCAGGUCACUCAGGGUAGGUCCCAGUAAAGUGCUUGGACAACAAGAAGACCUAUCCCAGUUGUUUCUGUGCUUGUUCCUAAAUCCUGUAUAUGGUCAUUGCUUCAGCCAAGUUAGAACGGGCAUAUGUUUUACACAACUUGACUGAAUGAGAUAUACCUCAUCAACAUGCUAUGCAAACAACAACCCCUGUAACAUUUAAAGUCUUGAGAAUUUUAUUUAUUUUGCUCAUAACAUAAAGUACUAGUAUUUACAUUCAACGGAAUCUAGCUAGAACUAGCAAUAUUUAUGCAAAUUUAAUACUCUUGUGGGUUUUUAUUUAUAGACCCAUGCACUCACCCACAGCUGAACUUCUCAACAAGCUAGGUACAUUGGCACAAAUUAACAGCUUAGCCCAUUAAGUUCCACUGCACCCUACUGGGGCUAUGGUGGCGUGCUGAUUGUGCCACCGACUUUGGUAGUGCAAUUGUCAGAGCGAGGACUUUUUACAUCUGAGAUUGUUGGUUCAAUUCUCACCACUUCAACGACACUUAAAUGUGAAAAGAGUCAUGCUGUCAACACUCUGACAAAAGUUGUGGGUUUUCUCCGGGAACUCCAGUUUUCUAUAGAGGGAAUGUUGAUGGGUGGCUUGGGAUUAGCCUCUAACUCAC